rnacentral:rRNA from 1 species
GACGAACCGAGCGAACGUUGUUCGGAAUCACUGGGCUUAAAGGGCGCGUAGGCGGCCUGUUAAGUGUGAAGUGAAAUCUCCAGGGCUCAACCCGGAAACUGCUUCGCAUACUGGCAGGCUGGAGGAAGGCAGAGGUGAGUGGAAUUCCCGGUGUAGCGGUGACAUGCAUUGAUAUCGGGAGGAACACCCAUGGCGAAGGCAGCUCACUGGGCCUUUCCUGACGCUGAGGCGCGAAAGCGUGGGUAGCAAACAGA